rnacentral:rRNA from 1 species
UAGGGGAAUUUUUCGUUCAAUGGGGGGCGAACCCUGAACGAGCAAUGCCGCGUGAGCGAAGAAGGUCUUCGGAUUGUUAAAGCUCUGUUGCCGGGGAAAA